GUUGAGUUCAGCAUUUGUCCUGGAUUCACAACUCAGUCUCUUAGGUAGCCUUAUAGGAUAUCCUUAGCUGAGAACCAACUGCUACAGCUCAACACUAGAUUCACCAGCAGUUUUCGCUCACUCCCAUGUUGGAACUGCCAGGGCUGCUGGGGCCAUCGGGGCUGCUCGUGCCUGCACGCUCUUCCCGGGGUCACAUUUGGGGCCGUGUGGGCUGGGCCAGGCUGCGCCGCUCAGCUCCCCGUGCACCACCGCCUCUGCUCUCAGCUGUGCUGCCGCUGCCUGGGGCCACGCCCACGUCUCGGCCAGGCCCCUGAGCGACAACCCCCCCGUGCCCUGCUCCAGCGCACGUUUCAGCUGGAUGCAGCUCUGCUCCCCUGCCGGACGCUGCCGGCCACGUGCCGCUCCUUUCACGGGGCUCACUC